rnacentral:rRNA from 1 species
UACGAAGGGGGCGAGCGUUGUUCGGAAUUACUGGGCGUAAAGCGCACGUAGGCGGCUCUUUAAGUCAGGGGUGAAAUCCCGAGGCUCAACCUCGGAACUGCCUUUGAUACUGGCGAUCUCGAGUCCGGGAGAGGUGAGUGGAACUGCGAGUGUAGAGGUGAAAUUCGUAGAUAUUCGCAAGAACACCAGUGGCGAAGGCGGCUCACUGGCCCGGAACUGACGCUGAGGUGCGAAAGCGUGGGGAGCAAACAGG